rnacentral:misc_RNA from 1 species
GAUGAAGAACGUAGCGAAAUGCGAUAAGUAAUGUGAAUUGCAGAAUUCAGUGAAUCAUCGAAUCUUUGAACGCAUCUUGCGCUCCUUGGUAUUCUGAGGAGCAUGCCUGUUUGAGUGUCAUUAAAUUCUCAACUACACUGACUUUGAAUUGGUGUGGCUUGGAUUUGGGGGGAAAAUUGUUGUGGGCUUUUUGUAUAGUCUGCUCCCCUGAAAUUGAUUAGCGGUACCUUUGUGGAACUGUCUACAGGUGUGAUAAUUAUCUACAUCUUAGACAUCUGCUGGAAUGCUGCUUUCUAAACCUUACUUGUAUUGACAAUCUUGACCUCAAAUCAGGUAGGACUACCCGCUGAACUUAAGCAUAUCAAUAAGCGGAGG